rfam:Sorghum bicolor cultivar BTx623 chromosome 10, whole genome shotgun sequence.
AGGUGUGGAUGAUGAUAACAAAGUAAAAUACAGUUAUCCCUGUCUUAUUCCUUCCAAAGGGUGCUGAUAAAACUUUAUUCUGACACAACU